AGAAUCAACGCUGGCGGCGUGCCUAACACAUGCAAGUCGAACGAGAAAGGGGUAGCAAUACCCUGAGUAAAGUGGCGCACGGGUGAGUAACACGUGACUAACCUACCCUUGAGUGGGGGAUAACUGAGGGAAACCUUAGCUAAUACCGCAUAAUACCCACGGGUCAAAAGGAGCAAUUCGCUCGAGGAGGGGUCGCGGCCGAUUAGUUAGUUGGCGGGGUAAUGGCCCACCAAGACGAUGAUCGGUA
rnacentral:rRNA from 1 species